CGAGCGGACCGACGGGAGCUUGCUCCCUUAGGUCAGCGGCGGACGGGUGAGUAACACGUGGGUAACCUGCCUGUAAGACUGGGAUAACUCCGGGAAACCGGGGCUAAUACCGGAUGCUUGAUUGAACCGCAUGGUUCAAUCAUAAAAGGUGGCUUUCAGCUACCACUUGCAGAUGGACCCGCGGCGCAUUAGCUAGUUGGUGAGGUAACGGCUCACCAAGGCGACGAUGCGUAGCCGACCUGAGAGGGUGAUCGGCCACACUGGGACUGAGACACGGCCCAGACUCCUACGGGAGGCAGCAGUAGGGAAUCUUCCGCAAUGGACGAAAGUCUGACGGAGCAACGCCGCGUGAGUGAUGAAGGUUUUCGGAUCGUAAAACUCUGUUGUUAGGGAAGAACAAGUACCGUUCGAAUAGGGCGGUACCUUGACGGUACCUAACCAGAAAGCCACGGCUAACUACGUGCCAGCAGCCGCGGUAAUACGUAGGUGGCAAGCGUUGUCCGGAAUUAUUGGGCGUAAAGCGCGCGCAGGCGGUUCAAGUCUGAUGUGAAAGCCCCCGGCUCAACCGGGGAGGGUCAUUGGAAACUGGGGAACUUGAGUGCAGAAGAGGAGAGUGGAAUUCCACGUGUAGCGGUGAAAUGCGUAGAGAUGUGGAGGAACACCAGUGGCGAAGGCGACUCUCUGGUCUGUAACUGACGCUGAGGCGCGAAAGCGUGGGGAGCGAACAGGAUUAGAUACCCUGGUAGUCCACGCCGUAAACGAUGAGUGCUAAGUGUUAGAGGGUUUCCGCCCUUUAGUGCUGCAGCAAACGCAUUAAGCACUCCGCCUGGGGAGUACGGUCGCAAGACUGAAACUCAAAGGAAUUGACGGGGGCCCGCACAAGCGGUGGAGCAUGUGGUUUAAUUCGAAGCAACGCGAGAACUUACCAGGUCUUGACAUCCUCUGACAACCCUAGAGAUAGGGCUUCCCCUUCGGGGGCAGAGUGACAGGUGGUGCAUGGUUGUCGUCAGCUCGUGUCGUGAGAUGUUGGGUUAAGUCCCGCAACGAGCGCAACCCUUGAUCUUAGUUGCCAGCAUUCAGUUGGGCACUCUAAGGUGACUGCCGGUGACAAACCGGAGGAAGGUGGGGAUGACGUCAAAUCAUCAUGCCCCUUAUGACCUGGGCUACACACGUGCUACAAUGGGCAGAACAAAGGGCAGCGAAGCCGCGAGGCUAAGCCAAUCCCACAAAUCUGUUCUCAGUUCGGAUCGCAG
rnacentral:rRNA from 1 species